AGAAUCAACGCUGGCGGCGUGCCUAACACAUGCAAGUCGCACGAGAAAGGGAGCAAUCCCUGAGUAAAGUGGCGCACGGGUGAGUAACACGUGAAUAAUCUACCUCCGAGUGGGGAAUAAACUGAGAGAAAUCUUAGCUAAUACCGCAUAACACUUACGAGUCAAAGCAGCAAUGCGCUUGGAGAGGAGUUCGCGGCCGAUUAGUUAGUUGGCGGGGUAAUGGCCCACCAAGACGAUGAUCGGUA
rnacentral:rRNA from 1 species